UUGGUACACGGGUCGCGGCCGGUGACGGGGAGCUAAUCUCUUAAAGCCAAUCUCAGUUCGGAUUGUAGGCUGCAACUCGCCUACAUGAAGUCGGAAUCGCUAGUAAUCGCGGAUCAGCACGCCGCGGUGAAUACGUUCCCGGGCCUUGUACACACCGCCCGUCACACCACGAGAGUUUGUAACACCCGAAGUCGGUGAGGUAACCUAUUAGGAACCCGCCGCCUAAAGUGGGAUAAAUGAUUGGGGUGAAAUCCUAACAAGGUAACCGUAUCGGAAGGGGCGGUUGGAUCACCUCCUUA
rnacentral:rRNA from 1 species